rnacentral:rRNA from 1 species
AACGCGAAGAACCUUACCUGGGUUUGACAUCCUCUGACCGCCUAUGAAAGUAGGUUUCCCCGCAAGGGGCAGAGAGACAGGUGCUGCAUGGCUGUCGUCAGCUCGUGUCGUGAGAUGUUGGGUUAAGUCCCGCAACGAGCGCAACCCUUGUCCUGUGUUGCCAUCAUUCAGUUGGGAACUCGCAGGAGACCGCCAGCGAUAAGCUGGAGGAAGGUGGGGAUGACGUCAAGUCCUCAUGGCCUUUAUGUCCAGGGCUACACACGUGCUACAAUGGACGGUACAAUACGUCGCUAACCCGCGAGGGGGAGCCAAUCGCUAAAAACCGUUCUCAGUUCGGAUUGCAGGCUGCAACUCGCCUGCAUGAAGCUGGAAUCGCUAGUAAUGGCAGAUCAGCACGCUGCCGUGAAUACGUUCCCGGGCCUUGUACACACCGCAUAC